AAGUCAGUCAAGCCAUUUACUUUCAGCUAAAAGCAAUAUUUCAAUCUUAAGGCAGAAAAAAUCCAUACUGUCAAUAAAAACAGCAGCAGACACAUGUAUUACCAUGUUAGCUGUGGUGUUUGUUAAAAAGCUAUGGUGUUUUAUUUAUGUUCAUGGGGAGUUUUACAUGUAGGGACCUGGGGCAGGGCUUGGGGGAUCGGGGCAAAAGAGAUGCAAGGUUUUGGAAAUAAACUCCUACACUUUUGAACAGUAACAUCUUGUGUGUAUUAAAGAACACAACCUUACUUUUUUUCUUGCAUAGGAUACAAGCUGUUUGAAUUGUAACCUUAAGAUAUUACAGAACAUAUCCAAGCUACAAUAGCUGAAUGUCACCACACACAUUGUUCUCUUUCAGCUAGAUGCUGCUUCCUCCUGGUUCCCAAAACAAAACAAAAUGUGCAGUUAGUUUAUAAUCACACUAUAUUAAAGGAGCAAACCCAGCAAGGAUUUUACUGUUGAAAAGAUGUCCAUGGGCGACGUUGAAAAGACGUUUAAAAUUAGUUAAAAAGUGAAAUUUUCUAUUUCUAGACAGUUUAAAUUAAACGUAAUUUUGAGUAUGAAAUUAUUUCAUUCUCUACUUUAUGCUACAUCAUUAUUUUAGACAAUUACAAAGAAACAACGUCCACAUUUGUAAGUUUACGAUCAAUAUUGCAAAUCAUGUUGAAAACUAGAAGUGUUGAAAUACCGUCAGGAUUUCGACUGCAUCGUAGCACAGAAACAGCACUAGUCUAAGGCAGGACCCCUGCAGGGACCACCACAAUCAGUCGUAACGGCCAUCAAAUAUAACCGCCAUCAGAUAUAACCACCAUCAGAUAUACCAUCAGAUAUACCAUCAGAUAACACACACACAGGACUUGAGAUAUUCAGUCCAUACCUUGUUUUCCUGUCAUGCUUACAAAAUUAGGCUCUUUUGUUUGAAUACAUAAUUAUCAUGCUAAUACUAUUACAACUGUCACUAACGCUGCUAAUAUUGCCGAUAAUAUUGAUUAUUUCUAAUGUUGCUAUUAGUGCUAAAACUGCUUUUAAUAAUAAACUCUCUUCAUUCAAUUCACUUUUGUGACGAUUCACUCAUUUGUGAACUAUAACUACUGUCACCUACUAUUUUCAAUUCAAUUAAUUUUAUUUUGUAAAGCCCAAAAUCGCAAAUUACACCAUCAGAUGUAACUAGCAUCAGAUGUAACCACCAUCAGAUAUAACCACCAUCAAAUAUAACCACCAUCAGAUAUAACCACCAUCAUAUAUAACCACCAUCAUAUAUAACCACCAUCAGAUGUAACUACCAUCAGAUGUAACCACCAUCAAAUAUAACCACCAUCAGAUAUAACCACCAUCGUUCUGUUUUUACAGUAACGUUCCUUAAAACAAAGCUCCGGCACCCCACUGGAGGAAGCAUGUUCCUGCUACUACGCUAGAAUUCAGGUAACACAAAAACAUCUACAUUUUGAUAAGUACAUGGAAGUAAUCAUAGAAACAGAAGCGGCAAAAGGGGGAGUGGAGCAGGCGGGCAAGGGUGGGGGCCUAAUUUAAGAAAGGCCCAAGGCCAGGUGUCCAGCUGGUGUUGCAAUGGUGUGGCCUGGCAUGCAUGUGUCCAUUUAUACAAUGUGUUUGUGUUAGUGUGUGUGUUUUCUUAAAUAUAAGGUUCUGAGUGAGUGUAUAAAAAAAAUUCUAAAAAAUGUGUAUAAUCAAUAAAUAUAAAAAACGUGGGUCAUCCACUUAUUAGAAGGUUGGUGUGAUUUCAACGAUUCAAUACGAGACUGAUACUGAAAUUACUGAACCCCCUGACUCACUGGGUCUGCUCACGGUAGGUCUGUUCAGUAAGCCAUGCAUGCUAUAGGCCACAAAUACAAGAGUGCUCUAACACUGGUGGCCACAGCAGAGUCAGCAGCGUAAGAUGCUGGCUUUGCCUUAUAAAGGAUACACAACACGGACCCACACAAAUAGUCUGGAAAUUCCACACAUACCCUCUCACCAACCUGAAAAGUUGCCGGGUAACUGCUGGGCGCUUCUCCUGAACCGAACCUCACACAGGCAGGACAGGUGGCAGGGGAAGGUGCUGGGGGGGCUCUGGGGAGAGCAGGCAGGCUAAAACAUAUUAUGUGACCCUCAUCACCCUUUUGCCUCAGACCCAUGACACUGUACCUCUACUCUAACCUUUGAGGCACCUGUGCAAGCUGCUCCAAGAUAUGUGGACAACGUGUUGUCAGUGUAUGUAAAGCAAAUGGCAAGAUAAAGUGUAUCUUACACAAACAGCCAGGGAUAGUGUGAAAACAUGUCUCCACAUGCUACCAAGUAAACCUUAGACUGUAGUACCAAAAUAAUGCCCAAAACAAUAGCAGUGUUUAUUAUUUGUCCCUCAUGUGGUGGUAUUCUACAACUCAUAGGGUGGUAAAUGUAAACAGCAAAAUGUGCACACAAUUUGUCAUAUUUGUCACACAUAUUUGUCUGAUAUGUCUGUAGUGUGAAUUUUACUUUGGAAGAAAGUGCUCCUUUUUGAGUCUUAUUUACAGCUAAAUGUAAUCAGCAGUGAAUUGAUGUUGGUGUUUUGAACAUUGCAUGUCACGGUGUGGGUUUGAUUCCUGUUUUAUUGUGUAGUUUCCUGCCCCUUGUGUCCCUGGGUUAACUUCACUUCCUGCCUUGUCCUGUUUCCCCCUGUGCCCAAUCACCUGCACCUCCCAGUGUAUUUAAGCCCUGUCUGUGAUGUGUCCUUUGUCGCGUCAUUACUGAAUGUUUUUCAGAUUGUUAAACCCUGGAUGUCAUUCCCUUAGUUAUCUGUGAGUUCCUGGUCCCCGCCCGCGUUUUUCCCCCUUGGCAUUUUUGAUUUUGACUAUUAAAGUCUUUUUGUUGUCAACUCUGCAUUUGAGUCCUGCCUCUGCCUACACCCUGAUCGUGACACCCACAGGGGAACGAGCAGUGGGAGGGCCGGGCAGGUAGGGGGAGGGAAGGCGUCGCCCGGUGGACGAACAGAGGGAGGACACGCUGACAGAGGGGGAAAUUGGCUUUUUCACGGUGCAGGAGUUGGGGCAGCGGAAUCGACGGUUCCGGGGUCAAGCGGCGGGAAACGGAUGUCUGCUGCUUCUGCUUGCCUGGUCUCCUUUCCCUGGGUUUUAGCAGGUCCCUGAGCUCAAUGCAAGACCUUUGGUAGAUCCUCACCCCACAUAUAAAAUCAGUUCCGUUGCCAUAACCCCCUCCUCACGUCUAGGAAAUCUAAACCGUACUCUGGGAAUGAGUCCGCGGAGUCCAUCGCUGGUGGGUUUAUUCUGUCACGUCACGAACAUUCACAAUAAACUUAUCCAGAGACAUGGAACACACCUGGUUUAAAUACACUGGGAAGGUGCAGGUGAUUGGACACAUGUGGAAACAAUCAGAGACACAACAGACAGUAGUACUCACACAGAAAAUACAUCAGGGACACGAGAGAGAGGAAACAAAAGAAAAGAAAAAUAACCCACACAGUGACAAGCUUUGUACUCACUGACAUUCAAUUCGAACUUUGUGUCUCCAUAACCUGUUUUUGUAUGCCAAGCAUACAAUACAUUUACGAGGUCUUAUUGUGUGUAGCUUUGAAUUUGAACUGACAAUAAGAAAUACUUAACAUGAUAGCACAUCGCAAGGCAAUAACCAUUUAAACCAGCCUUUCACUACUAACCACUUGGUUAAUCUAUACAUUUCUAUCAAAGUAAGCUAACCAGUCCUAAUAAUUUCUGUGUCCUACAUAGGCUUAAUGUCCUAAAUGUACUCGGUUGAACUUUAUCAAUGAUUAGUCUCCACUUGACAAACUCAAACUCUUUGAGUUGACCGUUUUUAUGCUGGGGAAUUGUGAUCAAACGUUUGUCCCUAGUUGUAAGCAGGGCUGUAAUGGAGGGUAAACGCACGUAAACGCACCUCUACGCACCUCUGGAAUUUUGGAAAUAGCGUUUACGCACCUAUAAAUAGCGUUUACGCACCUCAAAGUUCCCUGCGCCUUGUAUUCUUCCGUUAGAAUAAUCCGAAAUAAACUUGGUGUAAUUUUAAAACAGCUAAAACUACGUUUCCUAUUGUUGAACAUAUAAACGCCGUAGUCUGAAUCCUUUUCAUCUGCGCUGUAUUACGGUCUGUGAGCAUCCAAUCAGUGCCUUGCAGCUGCAGCAGCGACCAAUCAGGAUCCAGGUGUGCAAACACACGGAUCAGCCCAGUGGUCCCCAACCUUUCUUACCUCACGAACCGGUUUCAUGUCAGACAAUAUUUCGCGGACCGGUCGAGUCGGUCAAGGUCCGAUGGGGGGGUGUAGUCGUCGUUGCGGGCGGAACGACCGACGGGGGGCGGGGCCAUGCUGUAGGCUAUUUAUGAUGACAUGGGUAGUACAUGAGUGUUCCUUUAACUCAGUUUAAUUGACAGGCUGCUUAACUGGUUAACUCUUAAAUUCAACAUAUUUUUUACAGGCAGUGAUGCAGAGAGCACAGGGAGAGAAACACCAGGUCCAAUAGAGAGAGAAGCACAGAGGAGCCAUGAACGUGUUCUGGGGUUCAUGGCUCCUCUGUGCAAGGCAGGACCUGACGUGGAGGACAAGGAGGCCCUCUGGGCACUACUGUCAAAAGGAGACUCCGUAUGUAGAUAGUUCUUAAUCUGCAAUUGUGUUGUUGUGUUGUGUUGACAUACUUUUCUUUACUGUUUUCUUAAAUUUAAUAAACUACAAACUACUAACACAUGUAUUCAUUGUCAUUGAUUGUAUAUGACUUUUACUGAUAACAUAAUACAAUAUAGCCAGGACAGCCUUGCAGAGUCGCAACGCUUUGUUUUGCAUUGCUUCGCAUCGCGUCGAGGUCUGUAUGAUCACAAAUUCAGAGUUUACCCACCUCUAAUUUUACCACUACAGCACUGGUUGUAAGGAGAACAUUAAAAUGAGCUCAACCCAGGACACCAAAGAAGGUGCAGCUCUUGGCAGAAGAGUAAUCGUUCAGUUGGGCUUUUGCAGCAACAACACUUUAAGCGCUUAAACAAUUUAAGCGCUACCUACAUUACAUGAUAAGCUAAGACUAAGGUAAUGGUACAUACACUUACACAAAGUAUCCAAAAUCUUAUACUGAUCGCAAAUUGUUAAGCCUAUAGAAGUACAGACCAUUUACCAUUACCAUUUAAGUCAUUAAUGUUAGGGAUUUAAGUGGAAGAGCACACCUAGUGGUGGAAAUGAUAAUGAUAGGGUUAGAAUUGUAGUUUGUGUGUUAUUAGAUAUUAGUUAUUACAUUAGUAUGUUAGAUGAAAAUGUGAUAAAUUUAUAGUCAUCUAAGUCAUUUUAAUUGCUUUACAGAUGACAUCCUGCCACAAUGUGUCCUGUUAGGCUGUUUUUGAGCAAAAGGAUGUAGGACUGCCCUGCAGGGCAAAUAUUUUUAUUUUGGAUAAUCUAGUUAAACAUAAUGGUUAAAAUGUGAUGAACUGUAAGGAUUUGUUUUGAUCUGUUAUCAUUAAAGUGUAUUAGUUAUUAGAUGUUUUCAAUAUUAUGCAUGCUAUGUUAUGUUUACACAAUGAAGCUUUGAGCCAAAGCUACAGUAUAUUCAUUGAAUGUGUACAAAUGUUGGAAUGUUGAGGGACAGAGAGGAGAGUGAGAUUUCAGGUGUAGCCAUGGAGGAAUGUGGGUUGUAUUCGACUUGGACUUGGAGUUCUCUAUUCCGCAAAAUAUUAUUUCACUGACAUUGCAUUUCCUUAGGUAACUGUAUUUCUUCUGUUAGUUAUUAAAUUAAUUUUGAUUUUUAAACUUGAACCAGUUGACUCUUUUCAACUCCCCACCUCCGGCUGGGGUGAAGGGUAAAAGUAGCAUUCCAUGGUCCGAAGUUCAGAACUUCACAUUAACUCUUAGCGAGGGAUGUAAGUUUGGGGAAAUAUUUGCUUCAUUGACUCAAGGAGCUUUGGAGUUGCAUUUCUAGGUACCUUAUCUAUCCAAUUUGAAUGUGUUUCUUUUGUAAAUGUACUUCCUUUUAUUAUUAUUUUAUUAUUUACUUUUAGCUUUGCUUUAUUGCCAGAUUUUGACAAUGCAACCCAUUUCUGGCCAAUGGUUUCACAUUAUUGCAAUGAUCAACACAACAAUGUGGCAACAUUUGCUAAUGCAUGUUUCAACUUUGCAAGUACUUUGCUGUACACAAACCUGCAACAAGUAAAUAAAAUAUGUAGGUUCACCUGCAUUGAGUCAUCACACCACUUCUGCUCCACCAAGAAGUACAGAUAUAUUUUCCGAACUGAAUACAUUGAAUGUGUCUUUGCAGAACACCAGCAUUUAAACAUGUAUGAUGAUGUGGAUGGCUUCCUGAAGAGAGCAGAGCUGUGGUCAAGUGACUGCACAGACCUCUGCUUUUAUCAAGUAGAUAAUUUCUCUUCAGUGAGGAUGUGGAUAGAGGUCCAGUCAUGUCGGUCCCAGCCAACUUCACCCACUUGAUUCGAUAUUUUCAAGCCUACUCUGCUGAUAUGGAGGAGAAAUCUGCACAGCUGGAUCAAAGCUGUGUCCUCCAGGUGAGUGCACCUAGAUCAAAGCAGUUGCUGGGGCCUCUUUAUGAAAACGUGUAGGGGGCGCUAUCGAGCAAAAAUGCUAUUUAGAAGCAUUGAAAUCAUAUGAAGUAACUACAUCAUUAAUUGUAAAUGUGUUUUCCAAAUUUGGUAAGGAUUGGAGAACAUUUAGUCCCUCAAAAAGCACCUCCGUUAUGACCUUGAAGAACGUGUUCCCAUGGCAACAGCGUAACACGAAAACAAAAAGUUUUAAAUACAUUUUAAUCACCAAGGCCUUGGGAUUGUUUUGUCAAAAUUUGAAGUGGCUGUAAAAAAGUCCCAGGGAGGAGUUUGUCAAAUAUACUUUGCCUCUAGAAAGUGCAAAAAAUAGAGGAAAUAUUCACACAUAUAAGAUUAUAAUUGACCUCCUGUUCAUUUUAGACCACUGUCCAAGAUACUUUUUUUAAGUCUUAAGUUUUAAGUCUCUUUGACAUACAUAACAAAAAAUUGUCAUGCAUGUAGGUCAAACCGGGCGCUACGGCUGCUUCGUUGAAAACUUCCUUAGGAGGCAAUUUACCACUUUUGAGCCAAAACUCCACAUUAACUUUGUAAUGUCAUCACCUAGGACACUGAUAUAACUUUUCAAGAGUUUUUGAGUUUGCCAAGGAACCGAAAUAUCUGCUUAAACUUUCAUGCGAAGACCAUGUUGCGAAAGCAAAAGUUUUUCAAAAACUCCCAAUAUUCACGGUAAACUAACAUCAAAGUCUUUUAGUAAAAAAAUAUAAGGUUUUCCAGGUUUGGUAAAGAUUGAAGCGUAUCUAGUCCCUAAAAAGCACCUUUGUUUUGACUGUGAAUAACGGGUUGUCAUGGCAACACCGUAACACGAAACAAAGGUUUUUAAUAACUUUUAAUCACCAAGGCCGUGGGAUUGUUUUGUCAAAAUUUGAAGUGGCUGUAAAAAAGUCCCAGGGAGGAGUUCGUCAAAGAAAAUGCAAAAAAAUAGAGGGAAUAUUCACACAAAAAAAAAUUAUAACUGACUUCUUGUUCAUUUUAGAGCAUGGUCCCAAGAGACUUUUUUUUAAGUCUCCCGAGUACGGUACAUAUGUAUAAAUUGUCCUGUAUGUAGGUCAAACAGGGCGCUAGGGUAUGGCGGCAAAUCACUGUCAAAAGUCGAGCGCGAAAAUCAGGUUGAUGCGAGAGCGUAAAUCAAACAACCGCGAGCAAAUCUCCGUCUCGCGUUCUCACGAAACGUGAACUUCCUCGCUCCCGAGGUGAGUCUCUGCUCGCGCUCGAAGGUGUUUUCUACGCGCUCGCUGUUUUUCUUUUUAACAGUAAGGGGGCGGAGCCAGUCACCAUGGUAUCUACAUCUGAUUGGUUACAAUUAGUUACAAUACAUUCACACAACCACAGAAGCCCAUUUCCGCACUGAAGAAAGGGGAUAGAAAGUCGAAAUUAUGAAAUAAAACGUCAAAACACAAACGCCCCCUUAUGUAAUCGUAGUGGACCGUAGAUGACAACCAGCUAUAAUAUAAUUUACCAUCAUUACCGGCCCACUAAGAGCAAUGCGUCCAGCUCUCAGACCGGUCCGUCAGUCUGAAUCUGAAUAUCUUCAGAUAUUCAGAUGCGAGGAAGUUCACGCUCCUCGAGCGAGCAAAUAUCUCGCGCGAGACUGAGAUUUGCUCGCGGAUAUUUGAUUUACGCGCUCGCAUCAACCUGAUUUUCGCUCUGGAAUUUUGACAGUGAUUUGCCGCCAUACUAGGGCUGCUUCGUUAAAAAACUGCCAGGCGGCGUAAUGGAGACAAUUUACUCUAAUAAACUCUUAUUAUUAUCUAAGACACUGAUAGAACUUUUCAAGAGUUUUUGAGUUUGCCAAGGCACCCAAAUAUUUGCUUGAACUUUCAUGCAAAGUUUUUCAAAAAAUAAUAUUUACCGUGAAAAAUCAAGUCUUAAGGCUUAAAAAUAUAAAUGAGUGUAGCUUUAAUUAUGCAUUUAUUAAUGUGUAUCUAGACGUGCAAAUGUGUUGCAUUGAUUCAGGUGUACAGGAAAGAAUAAACAUCUUAUAUCAGGAAAAACACAUUGUUUAGCAGCCAAUAUGGGAAAUAUUAUAGGCCCACUCAUUCAGAUCCAACAAGGCACCAAACUAAAAACACUGCAAUAUUGCCACUUAUCCUGCACACUGGGUCGCGGGGGUGCUGGAGUCUUUCCCAGCCAACUUCGGGCAAUAGACAGGGUACACCCUGGACUUGUCGCCAGCCAAUCGCAGGGCUACACAGAGACUCACAUUCACACAUCUACGGGCAAUUUAAAGUCCCCAAUUAACCUUAUCCCCAGAGCAUGUCUCUGGAGUGUGGGAGGCCGGAGAACCUGGAGAGAACCCACGCAGACACGGGGAGAACAUGCAGACUCCACACAGAAUCGAACCCAGGACCUUCUUGCUGUGAGGCAACAGUGCUAACCACCACGCCACCAUGCAACACUGCAAUAUGAAAAAUAAAAAUAACUACGCUUGUGUUUGGACUUUUUGUCGUAUCAACCUUCACAUCUACAAUGCAUAAGUUCAUUGUACAUUCAACAGAGAGGGGGGCAAUUCCAUGCAGAGAAAUGGGGCCUUGGAAUUCAGGAGGCCAUCAGCCCCCCUGCUGUGUUUCUCAUCCAAACUCAUUUGGAUGUGUGACUGGGAACGAAUCAAAAAAAAUUACUUCUACUCAGCCGAAAAGCUACCUCACAUGCAAACAGACACACCCAAGCUCUCACACAGUACACACAUCGACACAUGCACACAGCCUAGUACGAGAUGCACUAUAAUAGAUUCUUUCAUGGGUUUUUAGGGUUUUCUUUCAAAUUAAAAAGCACUGCAUUCUAACUUUUCUGCUCUUAUUUAAUUUUUUUGUUAUUUGUCUCAGGUGACAUCACCUUUUGGAAGGUUUAAAAAAACAAUGUAUACCCAAAUGGUAUCUAGAGGAAAUCAUUAGCCUUCACCAUGCCUUUUACAAGAAUUAGCCCUUGUGCAAUUUACCAUCAGCUUUUCUGUAAAAAAUGUUUAUGCUGUAAGCUUUUAUUGCAUUGAACUAUAACUGAAAUCAAACAAAGGGGGGAAGAUUUGGUGAGGAGAUGCUGAGGGAAGGAUCAAGAGUUUUGCUUGAUCUUAGCACUGCUUUGGAGCUGGGUGGAUCAUGGGUGGACGGGUCUCUGAGAUGUUAUUAUCUUGGGCUCUACUGCGUUUGUCCUCCGUUAGUGGGCAGAGACUUCAGAAUUAUUUUGUAACUCUGAAUUCUAAUUGUGAGUACUUUACUUUUAAAAAGUACUCAAAGUAUCAUUCAAGAAUUCACUUUUGGCAUGAGGGUCAUCUUUUAACCAUCAUGGAGUUUAGAUAAUUUGCUAUGUUCCACUCAGACUGGCUAAUCGUACAACUAACAUUUGGGGUUUGAGAUCAACUGGAUGGUGAGUUGAACCACAUGCUUCUGCUAAUGCAGGGGUUUAUAUUUGAACACCGGUGUAAAAUGAUUAAACAGGACAUUUGUUAAUAAUACUUGCAAGUAGGGACAGCGUUGACACACACAUAUGUCAUAAGUCACGCAUCAAGCCUCCUCAAAAGUCUUUUUCUCUAGCACUGAAAUAUAUAACUGAAAAAUAAACAUAAUAAAGGGGGGGGGGGCUGUGGGCAAAAAAUGAAUGCUGGUAAUCAACCUUAGAUGUAGACCAUCAUCUUCUCCAAGCUGAUCUGCAUAGAUUUGUUUGUAUUGUGCCUACCUUGACAUUCACCACAAUACAACCACAAUAAUGAGAACAUACUGUUACCUGGGUGUCAAUAAAAACACAAAUGUAAGUUCCAACGACAAACACAAUUCAUUGACCCUGAAAUUCCUCUCCACACUCCCCAGCUCAUUACUGUUAUGGCUGAGUGGGGUGGGCUAAUUGAGUGAAUUGUCUAACAGUGGACAGUGUGUGUGUGUGUGUGUGUGUGUGUGUGUGUGUGUGUGUGUGUGUGUGUGUGUGUGUGUGUGUGUGUGUGUGUGUGUCUGUGUGU
ensembl:lncRNA